CAGUUCAUAAAUGCCUGCUUUGUAAGGGGUCCUUGCGUCCUGGGUACCUCAACUCCUGUGGCCGGCUCUGCCCCAGGAACCCGUGCCAGCAAAUGGUAUUUAUUAUCCUUGUCGGCUUCACCUGGAGAUGGGCUUCCCUGACUUCCACACAGCCAGGUUUGUUUCUUCCGGGUGCAGCAGGCAUUGUGGGAAAAACUCCCCCGGAUCUUCUGGAUCUUCUUGCUGCCACCGCCUGACUUAGUUUAUGAAGAAAAGCUUCAUUUGCAAGCCAGAGAUGGAGACAGGAGUGCAAGCUGCACACAGCCCACGCGCCGUUCCCAGUUUGUACGCAGGUUCAAACACGUGCUCACGUGUGCACCGCAGCAACACCAUGUGCAUACACACAGCUGUUCAGAUCUUUGUUAAGCAGUGUGCAACUGACUCCAAACCCAGUUCUAUGUGGAAAGUCGACACUUCAGAGUUACCUGUGAGAGAGAGAAACUGCUGUUCCUGUUACAAUUUCGGUAGAGAGAAGCUGAGUAGCACUGGAGGGUGAGAGUCAAUCCCAAGGCACACUCAUUUCCCAGCAGUCUCCUUCUAACUUCUGGACACAAAAGUCUCUGAGAACCUCAUCAGCAUGAAGUCAAUUCUGUGUCCACACAGGAUCCAGUAGCCGAGAAAGCUCUCUUGGUGUCCUCCCCUCUUCCCCGAGUCCUUUAGAUUUGGGUUGAGCUGUGCAACCACUGCUUUCAUUGGCGACCACACUUGCCCCUCCUAGCCCUUCGCACCUACUCCACAUUCGGAGCUCUUGAAUCCCAACAGGUGACUUAAAAAAGGAACAUGUCCGCUUUCCCUGUCAGUUCAGUCACAUGUAGAAUCAGCUAGGACACAUCUCAGGGUGUGAGUAAAGGCCUCUCCAGAGAAGGUUCAUUAGGAGGGAAGAGCCAAGCAGCAUCAUUUACGGGCUGGAGUACCAGAGUGAGGAAAAAAAAGGAAACAGAAAAAGGCUGCAGAGCAGUG